ACGAACGCUGGCGGCGUGCCUAAUACAUGCAAGUUGAGCGCUGAAGGUUGGUACUUGUACCAACUGGAUGAGCAGCGAACGGGUGAGUAACGCGUGGGGAAUCUGCCUUUGAGCGGGGGACAACAUUUGGAAACGAAUGCUAAUACCGCAUAAAAACUUUAAACACAAGUUUUAAGUUUGAAAGAUGCAAUUGCACCACUCAAAGAUGAUCCCGCGUUGUAUUAGCUAGUUGGUGAGGUAAAGGCUCACCAAGGCGAUGAUACAUAGCCGACCUGAGAGGGUGAUCGGCCACAUUGGGACUGAGACACGGCCCAAACUCCUACGGGAGGCAGCAGUAGGGAAUCUUCGGCAAUGGACGAAAGUCUGACCGAGCAACGCCGCGUGAGUGAAGAAGGUUUUCGGAUCGUAAAACUCUGUUGGUAGAGAAGAACGUUGGUGAGAGUGGAAAGCUCAUCAAGUGACGGUAACUACCCAGAAAGGGACGGCUAACUACGUG
rnacentral:rRNA from 1 species